UCUCGUCCACUAAGGUGAUAUGGUCCACAGAGCUAGAUGGAUCUCGUCCACUAAGGUGAUAUGGUCCACAGAUCUAGAUGGACAGACACUCUGCCCCUCCUCAGUCUUCAUAGCCCCUUCCUGAAGAGUGACCUCAGCCAGGGUGUGUCUCUGCAGUGCUGGGACGGUGUAGUGCUGCCUGACGUGGCUCUCACAGUAGAAGACAGUGCAGGUCAGACAG